rnacentral:misc_RNA from 1 species
UUAAGUUCAGCGGGUAUCCCUACCUGAUCCGAGGUCAACCUUGUGAAAGAUUUAACGGCCGCGGCCGCCCGCACCCCGAAGCGAUUAAUGAAAUCACAACGCUUGGAGACGGACAGCUCAGCCGGAGACUUCGAGGCGCGCGGAACACCGCGGCGCCCAAUACCAAGCCAGGCUUGAGUGGUGAAAUGACGCUCGAACAG